CGUCAAAUCAUCAUGCCCCUUAUGACCUGGGCUACACACGUACUACAAUGGCCGGUACAGAGGGAAGCGAAGCUGCGAGGUGGAGCGAAUCCCAAAAAAGCGGUCUCAGUUCGGAUUGCAGGCUGCAACUCGCCUGCAUGAAGUCGGAAUUGCUAGUAAUCGCGGAUCAGCAUGCCGCGGUGAAUACGUUCCCGGGUCUU
rnacentral:rRNA from 1 species